rnacentral:rRNA from 1 species
GACGAACGCUGGCGGCGUGCUUAACACAUGCAAGUCGAACGGAAAGGCCCUGCUUGCCGGGUACUCGAUUGGCGAACGGGUGAGUAACACGUGGGUGAUCUGCCCUGCACUUCGGGAUAAGCUUGGGAAACUGGGUCUAAUACCGGAUAGGAACCAUCUUUAGUGUGGUGGUUGGAACGUUUUUUCGGUGUAGGAUGAGCGCGCGGCCUAUCAGCUUGUUGGUGGGGUAAUGGCCUACCAAGGCGGCGACGGGUAUCCGGCAUGAGAGGGGGGACGGCCACAUUGGGAAUGAGAAACGGGACAGACUCCUAAGGGAGGCAGCAGGGGGGAAUAUGGCACAAUGGGCGAAAGCCGGAUGCAGCGACGCCGCGUGGGGGAUGAAGGCCGUCGGGUUGUAAACUCCUUUCGCUAGGGACGAAGCAUUGUUGUGACGGUACCUAGAUAAGAAGCACCGGCUAACUACGUG